rnacentral:lncRNA from 1 species
UUUUGAUCGGUGGAAGAAGAUUUGAGGGUGUUUGAGACUGUGAACAGUAUUGUGAACAGUAACUCUCGAAUUCUUGGGUUCUUGUUUGAUUUUUCUGGUUAUUUCUACUUGAAUUUGGUUGUUGUUGCAGGUAUAGGAACUGUUAGUUGUAGUCUAUGAAUUGUUGUGUUAGAUUUAAGGUUGUUGGUUAAUGAGUUUCCUUGGAGUUUGAUGUUGGUUGUGGUUCUAAGAGUGUUGAGAGGUUGA